CCUACGGGUGGCAGCAGUGGGGGAUAUUGCACAAUGGGGUAAACCCUGAUGCAGCGACGCCGCGUGAGUGAAGAAGUAUUUCGGUAUGUUAAGCUCUAUCAGCAGGGAAGAAAAUGACAGUACCUGACCAAGAAGCCCCGGGUAACUACGUGCCAGCAGCCGCAGUAAUAGGUAGGGGGCAAGCGUUAUCCCGAUUUAUUGGGUGUAAAGGGAGCGUUGUCGGUUAUGUAAGUCUAGAGUGAAAGCUCGGGGGCCAACCCCGGGACUGCUUUGGAAACUGGCGCACGGGAGUGCGCGAGGGGCAGGCGGAAUGCCUGGUGUAGCGGUGAAAUGCGUAGAUAUCACGAAGAACACCGACGGCGAAGGCGGCAUACUGGACCGAAACUGACGUUGAGGCACGAAAGCGUGGGGAGCGAACAGGAGUAGAUACCCCAGUAGUC
rnacentral:rRNA from 1 species